rnacentral:rRNA from 1 species
GACGAACGCUGGCGGCGUGCCUAAUACAUGCAAGUCGAACGCAGUGGGGACGGGUGAGUAACACGUGGGUAACCUCCCAUCAGAGGGGAUAACACUUGGAAACAGGUGCUAAACCGAUACUGAUGGAUGGACCCGCGGUGCAUUCGCUAGUUGGUGCGGUAACGGCCCACCAAGGCCACGAUGCAUAGCUGGUCUGAGAGGGUGAUAGGCCACACUGGGACUGAGACACGGCCCAGCCUCCUACGGGAGGCAGCAGUAGGGAAUAUUCGGCAAUGGACGAAAGUCUGACCCAGCAACGCCGCGUGAGUGAAGAAGGUUUUCGGAUCGUAAAGCUCUGUUGUUAGAGAAGCGGUAUCUAACCAGAAAGCCACGGCUAACUACGUGCCAGCAGCCGCGGUAAUUC